rnacentral:rRNA from 1 species
UACGUAGGCAGCGAGCGUUGUUCGGAGUUACUGGGCGUAAAGGGUGUGUAGGCGGUCUUCUAAGUCUGGUGUGAAAUCUCCCGGCUCAACUGGGAGGGUGCGCCGGAAACUGGAAGGCUAGAGUGCGGGAUGGGUAAGUGGAAUUCCUGGUGUAGCGGUGAAAUGCGCAGAUAUCGGGAAGAACACCUAUGGCGAAGGCAGCUCUCUGGGACGGUACUGACGCUGAGACGCGAAAGCGUGGGGAGCGAACAGG